UUUCAUAGCGUUCAUGGGAUUGGGCGCCAAGUGUCCGUGAAAAUUUUGAACGUGGGAAAAUGUAAAGCUUACUUUUUCACUAUUCCCCCUGUAUAGACUUUCCCAACCCCAACUUUCCCAAUUCUCUCCGCCAAGUUACUCUCUCUCUCUCUCUCUCUCUCUCUCUCUCACACACACACACACGAGAUCAAGAAGAACUGGGUCAUCCAAAACCAUUGCCGUUGCCAAUUGACCCUCAUCGGCAGUCCCACCAUCCGACAUCGAUCCCGUCUGUGGCCUACUAGACCUGCGCUUGUCUGACCUGAGCAUAAGAUGGAUUUUCUAUUCAAGUUACAAGGAACAACUUACUUAUCACUUAACAACUUUGGCUCUUAUAGGUAGCUGAUGAGUUCUUCAAUUGCUAAGGCAAUUGGGGCAGUUAGUAAUAUUCCGAAGUACCAAAAAAAAUUGGGCACCUAGUUGCAUGAUCAAGAAACCAAGUGAUGGGAAGCUGAUUGGCUAUAACAUGGACUAUCUUGGAUCUAUUGAGCAAGCACUAGGAGGUUGCUUGUAUUUGAGCUAUCCGUAGUUUGAAAUUCGGGUUUGCUUUCAAAUAACAUUUUCUUUUUGCCGGCUCAAAUGGUUCAAGCAAUGAAUCUAUUUCACCUCUUGCUGGUAAACUCUUUGUUGUCAAUGGAGCUGGCUGUAUAUAUAUACCAUAAUGAUUGUUCUUUCUCAUGCAAUACAUCAUUUGUUUUUCUUGUUCUCUAUAACACUACAACACAUAUGGCUUUCUAUAACGUAAUUUUACAGCGUUCUUUUGGUAAUGCUAUUAUUGAGUAGCCAUUAUAGCGUUCUUCAAGGCUAAAAGAAAGGAAAUACACUGAAGGCUUUUGAACAGCGUUUCAUUAAAGCCAUACACAGCAUUCCGCGAAAAUCAGAAGCACCAGUCUCCUCGCUCCCAAAAAUCAAACGGACCUUAGAAGUUUUCAAUCGAUUUCAGAAUCUUGAAAUACGAGUCGUACUCUAGCUAUGAACUGGUGCGAGAUUUCUCAAGAACUGGGGGGAGAUUUCUAGGGUUUUAAUCUUCAGUAUCAAGUAUGUUUCUUGUUCUCUAUUUCUUUUGAUCGAUUAACCUUUGUUCCCUACUGUUAGCCCGACCUUCAAGUUUCUCUGCCCCCUCCUUUCUUAAUCGGAGGAAAAUCAAAACCAUUUUCAAACCUAACGCACUAGUUGAAGCAAAGAGUCAGGGAGUCCAAAUACAAGGGUACGAUUUCAAUCUUCCUUCCUUAGCACGAGAUAAUCAGUUUAGGGUUUACAAGGUUAUCCAUUUAAAGGGUUAGGAUUUACUUUAUCUGAGGUAUCAAUUUUCAAUCGAAAACAAGCUUCAAUGGAAUCUCUUGCAUUCUUCUCUUCGGCAUCUCAUGAAGCAAUCAAAACCUGCUCAGAACUUCUUGCAACCAUCACACGACCACCAUAUCCGGAAACGGAAAUCUUGCAAAUUCCGUUGAAAUGAUUUUGCUGUUACUGAAUUUUGGAUUUCUUAAAAGUAUGCGUUCUACGUGUUCGAUGAAAUGAGAAAUGAGAAAGAUACACGCACACGCGCAUAUGGAUAACCUAACCCAUCUUACGAAAUAAUUUUGUGCAAUCUAUAGAGCCUUAAUUUCCAUAUAACAGCAUGUAUUUGCAAAGUACCAAUUGAUUAUCUUUUCAUCCUGUUAUAAUAUAUGCCCUUGGUUUUGUCCCUUUCUCUCUCGCUCUUUCUCAGCAGCUUCAAAACAUCAUUCAAAAUAUGGAAUUUACCUUUGUAAUGCUGCAACCAUUUUCCUAGCGAGUUUCGGUAUAAGAUUUCGGCAAUUGCAAGAAUGUUGGAUCUCAAACCUGUCUCUCCGCCUCAAUAACUCUACGAGACUAACGGUUAUGCCAUCCACUUGGUAUUUCUUUCUCUCUGUUGUCCCUAGAAAGUAGAAACUGAUUAUUGGAUAUAGGCAUUGUGUUACUAAAUACAAUUGAAGCUUGUAUCUCAUUCUGCACAAUUAUCUCUUGUGGGUAGUCGACUAGUUGGUAAUGGUACCUUACCCACUCGUGUUUAGAUGUGCAUUAUCGCAUGAUGUGCAGAUUAUUAGUCUGAUGUGUAGAACAAUAAGCAAGACUAUAUGAUGUGCAGAACAAUAAGCAAAGACUAUUAUUCACCCAAGACAUAAACAAACUAACAAAAGUACUAGGGCAUGUUUGGACACUUCAUUUUCCAUUAUGACUUUUGCAUUUUUUCCAUUUUGGGAUAUGUAUAAUAUGCACACACCACUCCAUGAGAUAUCUACACCAACGAAUUUCAGUUGUAAAAAUCGUUACAAUAAGGAAUGUAUCUUGUUUGCAUAAAAUAUGACCUUGAGUGUUAGAUUGUGAAUUCAAAUUGCUGAAACUGAAUAUUAGUUGCUAUCUUUUACCCCUAGAAUGAUUUUUGUGCUAAAAGGGUGUUUGUGAAGAUUGUCCUGUUUGAUUAGCACAUUGGUUAUUCAUUCGAAAUGUACUCUAAAUGCCGCAUUUACUUGGAUUAUGGUUAGUAAAAUAGCUUAGAAAAGGCUCAUGACUUAUGAAGUUUUUUUUUCCCCUAGCAAAAGCCUUGAUCGGGAAUGUUAAACCUAAA